rnacentral:misc_RNA from 1 species
GAGAGAGAGAGAGAGAGAGAGCAUGGCAGCGCCCUCAAAAAAAAAAAAGUAGCAUAAAAAAGAAAGUGCAGCACAGGAAAGGGAGAGAGCGAGAGCAUGGCAUUGGCAGCCAAAAAAAAAAAAAAGAAACAGGAAGAAAAAAAUGCAGCACAGGAAACAGGGGAAGAGAGCAGAGGAAAUAGAUAGAGGAGAAGAAGAAGAAUAAGAAAACAGUAAAAUUAAAAUAUACAUAUCAGAUUUGUUUGGUCUCUCCCUUCCCUCUUCUCCUUCUUCGUUUUUGUUGGCUACUGGUCCGGACAAGCUUUAAAAAAAAAC